GACGAGCGCUGGCGGCGUGCUUAACACAUGCAAGUCGAACGGAAAGGCCCUGCUUUUGUGGGGUGCUCGAGUGGCGAACGGGUGAGUAACACGUGAGUAACCUGCCCUUGACUUUGGGAUAACUUCAGGAAACUGGGGCUAAUACCGGAUAGGAGCUCCUGCUGCAUGGUGGGGGUUGGAAAGUUUCGGCGGUUGGGGAUGGACUCGCGGCUUAUCAGCUUGUUGGUGGGGUAGUGGCUUACCAAGGCUUUGACGGGUAGCCGGCCUGAGAGGGUGACCGGCCACCUUGGGCCUGAGAUACGGCCCAGACUCCUACGGGAGGCAGCAGUGGGGAAUAUUGCACAAUGGGCGGAAGCCUGAUGCAGCAACGCCGCGUGCGGGAUGACGGCCUUCGGGUUGUAAACCGCUUUCGCCUGUGACGAAGCGUGAGUGACGGUAAUGGGUAAAGAAGCACCGGCUAACUACGUG
rnacentral:rRNA from 1 species